GUCCAGGUGGUGUCUGCUGAGUCUCCUGGUCACAUUGCCGUCCUUCCUCUGUAGUGGAUAAUCGUCCUGGAGACACUGGGAGACCAAAUCCUGAUUCUCCUGGAACUUCUCUGAUUUUGGCAUCCAUGGGGGUCUUGUCAGCAGCAAUCAGUUCCGUGGACUUUGCCUCAUGAAACAAAACCUGCUUUCCUUGAGACUUGCUUUCUUGUAUUUGCUUGAAGACAACGCGACCUCUCAGCGUGGCAAUCCCAGAAGCAGGUCACUGGACAACUUGUUAAUUUUGAGCACGGUGACUGGGAUUUCAAGGAUUCGGUUUGCAGUGCCACAAACAAAGUGAGCCACUGGGAGGCAGCAGAGGCCUUGGAGGGGAGGUGCAUCUGGCAGCCACAGAGCUCAUUGCGGGACUACCCACAGGCACGCGGAGCAUCUUUGCCUUGUGGAGCCUGGCACCAGGACUGCUGGGAGGGGAAGAGGCUCAGCCCCCACACCCGGGGAACCUAUGCCACACCGGGGCCCUCUCCAGCCUCACUGGCAGUGUCUCUGGGACCACUCCCCAGAUUACUUGUCCUGGGGUCAGCUCGGGCAGGGAGGCAGAGUAGCCCUACAAGCCCUCUGCAAACACACACAUGCUCUCACCACAAACAGAGUAGAACCGCACCACAUGGAUUCUGCAUAACACCACACUGGGGCCCUGGAUGUUUCCCCCUCAUCCACCUUGUUUUGAAUGUAGAACGAAGUCCAAAGUUUUUCUUCUAACAGUUCCAGGCAGGCUGGCAUAUCGAAUCAAUCCAAACCCAGUCUGCCUGUCCUCAGGUCCCCUCUGCACCACAAAGCCCAGGCAGUAUGAUCACCAUUUGCCAGAGGCCCUCACAGCUGGGCCUUCACCUGCGACCUGGGUUCCACACACUGCUUUACCUGAAUGAAGCUGGGGGGCAGAAUUGGCCAACGAGAGGUGCAGCCACACGGGAGUGGCCUGGGCCUUCGGGAAAGCCUUUAGACAUUGUGUGGACUGUAGAGAAGCUCCUGGGGCCCAGUGCCAGUGUUGCUCGUGCUUGGGCACCUCUCCUGCCGCAUCAUCCCUGGCAGUGACGUCCACCGGCUCUCAGCCCAGAUGGGGAGACCAUCGGUCUUUAUCUCUGAGUAAAACUCGAUCUGCUUCCACCUGCUGGUGGGGAUUCUGUGGUCUGCAACUAAGCCUCUGAAACCGAGGGCAGGAUAGGAGGGACGUGGAGUGGGCGCUACGUGGUGGGUGCUUGACACUCCUUCCUGGUUGUGUGACCGUGAGCCAGUGACAGCCUAAGCAGAGGGAGCUGUGAUGAAGCUUGUAGCUGUAGCGCGCCUGGGCCCCAGCCUUGCAGCUCCAGGGGUGGAGCUCUUCCAGGAACAAACUCUUCUCUGCCACUCUGUGGACAGAAGGCCCUGUCCACGUAGGGGGCUCUCACUGCCAUUCACAUGCCUUGACCCUUCACUCCCUUCGUGAGAUUCAGAGCAGCCCUUCUGAGAACAAAGCGCAGUGAACAUCUCUGGAGACACCAAAGUCCCCUCGAGUGAGAAACAGACUCCUGAACGCAGGUUUUCAGGAUGUGAACCCCGGCCCAGAGCCUUACCCAUGGAUGAGGUGCCCAUGCAGUCCCCAGGGUGCCUUUGACCUCUUAUUCUGUAACUUCACAUUUCAAUUAAAGUGUUGAGGGAAGAUGGCCAUGACCAACACC